GUAGCCUGGUUUGUCUGUUUUCGUCAUUGGAGGUUAAUGAAUGAUGCGUUCUGAUGCUGCGUGUAUAUUAAGAUUCUCUUGUGCCAGCGGGAUAACUUUGUGUAUAACAGAGAUCACAUGACCUGCUGCUGUCUGCGUCUCUUACAGCUGUGGGCAUCCAGAUGAAACUGGAGUUUUUUCAGAAGAAAUUCUGGACGGCAAGCAGACAGUGUGCAGCAUUAGAUGGGAAGUGCUCCAUCAGCUGUGAUGAUGAGAAUAUUAACUGCUACUUAAUCGACAACAAUGGCUUCAUUCUGGUAGCAGAGGACUAUACUUUGGUGAGACAUGGAUGAAAGAGCGUGCACAGCCUCUUUUUGUCACAGUUAUACAUUUCAUUUGGAUUUCACUGCAAACAGAAAAUUGAAUCCAUCGUGCACCUGGUCAUCUCCACCCUGGAUGUGCGUCCCUGUGAAAAACCGUUGCUCAAAAAAAUUAAGGGAACACAUCAUGACAGCAUAACAGCACGUCAGUGAUACUUCAGGGCUAUCAGUCUGUGAAGAAGGAUUAACGACUGUGUAUCAGUUUUUAAAGGUUUUUACAGGCAGCAGCCGUGGAUCAUUGCUCCCACUAAUUCCUCUUAACGUGUCCUUGUCACUGUAGCAUGAGACCAAUAGUUAGUCCACAUUCUCCAGGAUGGCUCGUCCAUAUGUGCUGUCACACAGGUUUUACUGGCUCCCAGCACUCCCAGUUGUAUGGGGGGAUAUCAGGAGAUGGGCCAUUACACAAUAAGAGCUCGACAUCAACCCAGCAGCACGACCGUGAUCUGCUCCUCCGUGCGAGGAGGAACAGCAGCAGCUCUAAAAAUGACCUCCAGCAGGCCACUCGUGUGUUUCUGACCAAACAGUUUCAUUUGCACCAAAGCAGCUGAUAUUAAUUCAUACUUUAUGUUUCCUAACUGUAUCGAUAUCACUGGCAUUGAACUAACUUUGUAAUAUAUCGUAAUGAUCGAUUUUUUUGAGCAGUGUAAUUUUCUUUCUGCGUCUCACACAUGAUAUCGUCCCUUUGACUGCUCACAGUGAGACAUGCUGCUGCUCUCGCGUAGACUCGACCCUCUGCUUAGCUGUCACCAGACAUGCUGUCACUCCGACUCUGCCUCAUGCAGAAACCAGUCCGCUGGCUGUCACUGCCCUUGCCUUACCCUGCAUGUUCUUUUCAUGCGUAUCUCACUUGCAGGCUUCUGUGCUUUAUUGUAACUUAAUUUGGAUGUGGCAGAGCUUUCAGGCUACCAAAUGUCACCAUUUUUUAAUAACAGUAUUACAUGGUGACAAUGUAUUUGACUAAUAAGGUAACAAUGUGAAUUAUAAAAUGUUGCAUUGAAUGUGUGAACAGCUUAUUUUGUUACUAGGCAGAGGUUAUAUAGGCUGAGUCACAUUUUCUGCCCCACAGAGUCGAGAAAAUUAGAAUAAGGAAGAAUGAUGGUGAGAAUAUAUCACAGUACUCUUUAGCAAGCAAAUGCCAUAUUUUUGUGUAGAUCAAGGAAUCCAAUACUUUCAGGACUGAGAAACAUUCAGUAGUAAAAGAGUUUAAAACACAUAAAAUAAGAAAAUAUGUUAGAUGCAGUUUUUCUGAAAUCCCGGGCAGAAGGUUUUGCAAGGAGCGAGUGCGUAGCGUUCAAAAAUGCUAGCUCAGGGCGUAAAUCUCUUCCGUGUUACGAGACAUAUACACCAGCCUGUGUUCACCAAUACACGGAUUCAUGACAGAGUUGGCUGCAUAAAGAACAUGUGACUCCAGCAAAAGUGCCGCCUGGCAGUUUGUCAGUGUCAGAGGAAAGCUGCUCCUCACCACGGACUAAUCCAUACCAGCCUU